UUUACCCCCCCUCCCUGCCACUCUUCUUCUCUCGCUUGCACUUUCUCUCUCUCUCUUUCUCUCUCUCUCUCUUUCUCUCUCAUUCACUGUCUCGCUCUGCUUUUUACCUAUGCAGCCGAGUAUGUAUGAAAACGCCAUCAGGUGUUAUUGGCCACGACUCCGUCGUCCGUAAAUAUAUUGUAAAAAAAAAAGAAAUGCCGAUCGUUUCUCGUUCCUGAGCUUUAAACCUUCAUAAACGAAGAAU